rnacentral:rRNA from 1 species
UGGGGAAUAUUGCACAAUGGGCGAAAGCCUGAUGCAGCAACGCCGCGUGAGUGAUGACGGUCUUCGGAUUGUAAAGCUCUGUCUUUGGGGACGAUAAUGACGGUACCCAAGGAGGAAGCCACGGCUAACUACGUGCCAGCAGCCGCGGUAAUACGUAGGUGGCAAGCGUUGUCCGGAUUUACUGGGCGUAAAGGGUGCGUAGGCGGACCUUUAAGUGAGAUGUGAAAUCCCCGAGCUUAACUUGGGGGCUGCAUUUCAAACUGGAGGUCUAGAGUGCAGGAGAGGAGAGUGGAACUCCUAGUGUAGCGGUGAAAUGCGUAGAGAUUAGGAAGAACACCAGUGGCGAAGGCGACUCUCUGGACUGUAACUGACGCUGAGGCACGAAGCGUGGGGAGCAA